UUUUCGUAUAUAGUGAACACAGUUAAAUAUCUAGUCCAAAAUUAUUAAAUUUUAUAGUUAAUAAACAUGUAGCAAAAAGCAAAGGAAUUGAGAGGGAAAAUGUAAUGGUGAGUGAGUUAUGCUAAACUGUAUCAAAGUAAAAGUGGAAUUCUUCAAGUCAAGCAGGAGAAAGUAUGAAACAUACCUUGAAGAAGCUCAGCUAAG